GGGCCCGCACAAGCGGUGGAGCAUGUGGUUUAAUUCGAAGCAACGCGAAGAACCUUACCAGGUCUUGACAUCCCUAUGACCGUCCUAGAGAUAGGAUUUCCCUUCGGGGCAUAGGUGACAGGUGGUGCAUGGUUGUCGUCAGCUCGUGUCGUGAGAUGUUGGGUUAAGUCCCGCAACGAGCGCAACCCUUAUUGUUAGUUGCCAUCAUUUAGUUGGGCACUCUAGCGAGACUGCCGGUAAUAAACCGGAGGAAGGUGGGGAUGACGUCAAAUCAUCAUGCCCCUUAUGACCUGGGCUACACACGUGCUACAAUGGUUGGUACAACGAGUCGCAAGCUGGUGACAGCAAGCUAAUCUCUUAAAGCCAAAUCUCAGUUCGGAUUGUAGGCUGCAACUCGCCUACAUGAAGUCGGAAUCGCUAGUAAUCGCGGAUCAGCACGCCG
rnacentral:rRNA from 1 species